CAUCACAGUGCUGUAUGUAGCUGUAUGACUGAUGCUUUUCUCUCUACCUUUCAGCCAAACCCCGUAAAUAUGUAUAUUUCUCUGGGGCUUUUGGUCUCCCUCUCCUGAAUUCUGUUGCUCUGGCUGUAGCAUUAAAACUCAAAGCAGACACAGGAAAACAGCCAUUGGAUCUACGGCUGAUUGUCCUGAUUUCUGGGUCUGUCUUCCUCUUUGGCUGGUUUGUUGUAGAGGUGUCUGCAUACUGGUUGGCCAAAAAAGAAAAGUAAGUAGACA